rnacentral:rRNA from 1 species
GAUGAACGCUGGCGGCGUGCUUAACACAUGCAAGUCGAACGGGAAACCUUUUAUUGAAGCUUCGGCAGAUUUAGCUGGUUUCUAGUGGCGGACGGGUGAGUAACGCGUGGGUAACCUGCCUUAUACAGGGGGAUAACAGUCAGAAAUGGCUGCUAAUACCGCAUAAGCGCACAGAGCUGCAUGGCUCAGUGUGAAAAACUCCGGUGGUAUAAGAUGGACCCGCGUUGGAUUAGCUGGUUGGUGGGGUAACGGCCCACUAAGGCGACGAUCCAUAGCCGGCCUGAGAGGGUGAACGGCCACAUUGAGACUGGGACACGGCCCAGACUCCUACGGGAGGCAGCAGUGGGGAAUAUUGCACAAUGGGGGAAACCCUGAUGCAGCGACGCCGCGUGAAGGAAGAAGUAUCUCGGUAUGUAAACUUCUAUCAGCAGGGAGGAUAAUGACGGUACCUGACAAAGAAGCCCCGGCUAACUACGU